GGAUUUUUUAGAGUGACCUUGAGGAUUAAAAUCUCUUGGUAAAUCAUACAUCAUGAUACGUGGAGUUCAUGUAACACUGUGUAGUAUCAGGCUGAUGUAGGGGUGCAAAAGUCACCAGCUAAGACCCAGGGGCAGUUUCUCCAGCCACAGGAUUCGCAAUUUUUUUUCUACUCUUUGUUUACUUGCUAUGAAUCAUCUCCUCUUAAGAAUUCAUUGUGCAGAUUUAUAUAAGGAGACAAAGAACUGUUUAAUCAUCUGGUCUACCCUGUUCAGAGUGCAAACCUGGCACUAUACCAGCAGGAGUGCCAGUGUCUCAGUGAAAGGCAAAGCAGCAACAUCCCCUGGUAGUUCUUGCUCCAGGAGUUGAGGUCACAACUAUACAGUGUAGGAGGGCAGCCUGCUCCUCACCACCUCUGCUUCACUGGGACCACAUCCAGGUGCCUUUGGAAGAUCUUCAAGGAGGUGACUCCUAAUAAACUAUUAUUCUCUUCUGUAAGGAAGAACAUUCAUUUUUAAUUCUUCACUUCAUCCCCAGAGAACUAGGGUGCAAUGAAAAACUCUCCUUUAACAUGUCCAAGUGAAGGGCCAGGCUCCAUGCCAGUUACAAAUUCCCUAUUCCAGGCGAUUAACAACUGACAGUUGAGCUGUUAAUGUCGAAAGUAGCCUGAUCCUCACUUAUCAUCUGCAUCAUGAAGAAAAUGCCACUUGUGAAGGGUUUCUGAAGAAGCUGCUAAAUGAAGGUGACAGACUGCUAAAUGAAGGUGAAGUUUCCUUGUGUGUGCAUGUAGUUAACAGCACUUAUUUUUAUUUCCAUAAACUCUGACACACAGUUUAAGUCAUGUUCAACCCAAUUCCUUCCCAGCACAAACUCAAGUCCACACUUGUGUUUGUGUCUUGUUCACCAAGUCUGCCAUCCCAGCCAGAAGGUUCAAGAAAACCUUCAUUUUAAUGCUCUUCAGUUCCACAUCUGUUUCCCAUCAAAUUUUUUUUAGAUUUCCCUAAUGCCUUUUUUUAAAAAAAACUGGUCUCAGCCUGAUCCUAUGGAGAAGAGGAAAGAGAAUUUGCCUAACUUCCUGUGUAACAGUGGAGGCACGAAGAAAGGAAGAAGAAAUAGAAUUUACAUAAGGCAAUCAUUGAUUAAAAAUCCAAGUACAAGGUAUGAUUGAUUGCAUCUCCUGCUUCUGUUAUUUUUGAAGCAUUAAGGACAUGAAUAGCUCAAUGGGUGACAAGAAAAGUGUCAGGUUGUUAAAAAAGUUGCAGACUCAUGCCUUUAGAUCUAAAAAUUAUCGAGCUGCAGCUCAAAGGUGAAAAACUUACCCUCAGGCGAGGAGGGUGUGACUCAUCAUCUCAACAUAAAAUGUACAUAACAGACUUCUGAAUAAAUUUGGUCUUGAUAAGAUCUGUGAAGGCCAAGUUGAAGUGACUGGAGAUGAAUACAAUGUGAAAAGUGUGGAUGGAAAGCCUGGUGCUUUCACAUGUUACCUUGAUGCAGAUCUUGCCAGAACUACUACUGGAAACAAAGUCUUUGUGUGAAAUAAUCAGAUGCUAUGUAUGGGAAAAGGACCACAACAGCUGUGACACAUUUUUACUCUUUUCAUUUGCACACUUGGUCCAGAUUUGGCCUCUCUUACUCAAUUUAAAUAGUUCCUCACCAUGUAGUCAUGAAUGCAAAUAGGACUGUAUGGAAACUGAUGUGCUACCACUGCAAGGCAAGAUAAUCUGAAGACAUUGUUUUGUUUAAACUUUCUCUGUACAUAUACUCAUAAAUAUGAAAUAAAAUACUCAAUACAAACGUAAAAGGAUGUUUGUGUAUGUGUGUAGAGGUUUUUUUAACCAAAGAUCAAGAUAUGCUGAACUUCAAAAGGUUAUUUUGGGCCAGGUAAAACUUCAGAGUUUUGUUUCUCCCUGGAAAAGUCAAUAUGGUUUCUGCUCUGCUGUGAUCAAGACUAUUUACUUGACAGUUUAGAAUAAACCUAGAAUCAAUAUCUUUAUCGUGUCAUGUGGAAAUGUAUAUAUGUGUCAGAUAAAACCUUGCAGUUAUAGCAGCAAGAGAGACAUAAAUUUAGUGCUUUGAACUUUUCAGAAUUGGUUUUAGGAAUAAUGUAUUUUAUAUGGCAGAGACGCUACCAGUAAGAGGGAGUCUCAACUAAUGGAAAAUGAUUGAGGAGUCAAAAUGGUACCUCUCUUAAAUCACAAAAGAAGUGAUUAUCGUGUCUCUUCCAGAUGCAGUUUUAAUGAGACGUGAAUAGCAGUUGAGUAGGGGGUGUUGAUUUUUAAACAUACAGCAAUUAUCAGUCUCACUAGCAGUAAUCAUCUAAUAUUCCUUAAAGUAAGUCGCAAUUGUAUGUAUCUGAUCUUGCAUUCAAUCAGACUAAAAUAAGACUAACUCGUGAUUACUGUAUACACUUAGCUCUCAUUUUGAAUGACUACUUUUUAAUUCUAGAACAACUCCUAAGAGAACAGUAACAUUUUGACAAUAUCACAUAUUCCCAAAGAUAUGAAUUACCCAAGGGUAACAAAAUGUAAAGGUCAACUUUCUGUUUCACUGUGAAUUAAAUUUUGAGCUGUAACCAAUUAGCAUUUAGGUUUUUUUCUGGCUGAUUCUGAGUCUUGUAAGCCACUACUACCUCAGGGGGAACUAUUAAAAAAAAAAAAAAGAAAUCACUUCCAAAAGGUGCACACGGAUUUUCCAAUUGUCAGGGAUUUUUUUUUUUUUUUUAACAUCCAAUUGUCAGUCAGAAUUUGUCAGGGAAGGAAAGAGUGGCGCUAAGUACUUUGCAUGUGUCUCUGCUUUGCAGUUUGAUGCUCUCUGCAGCAAAAAACAAGUUAAUUCCUGGAUCAUGGAGUACUUCCCGGUGACUUGCUGGCAAACCCUAGAUGGUGGGUUUCAUCUCAGCUACCUCUAUAUGCUCUGAUGAGUGGAGCAGAAGGGCAAAAUCCCUAAAAGCCAGGUAGCCUCCAAAAGCUCUAGGGAGCAGAGGAGCCUGAGACUGAGGCGUGCCCAGGUACCUUCUGGCAUAGCAGAAGAGAAAUGAGUGAGUUUGAAACACAGUUGUUUAGUUUGUGCUGUGUUGCAGCUUUUUAGGACCAUCUUGGUCAAACAGGAAAAUACUGAAAUGUGAAUUCUCUCUUUGCAAAAACGUUUCCAGCUUUGUAUUGCAAAGCCUAGAGAAUGAGGAGCAGAAGAAUUCGCAUACUCAAGAUUCAAGUAAAGAGCACAGGAAAUGUCUAUGAAGGAAAAAGCAGUGGAAGAAGAGAACAACAGCAUCAAAAAUAACUCUAUGCAUCGAACCUAAUCCUGUGCACCUGCUACUGCGUCACUGAAGAGACUGAGUGUAGCCUGCAGUGAUAACAAGGUGGGAGAGACGUUAGGAGUGAAUUACAGAUAACUCUGUCUACAUGUAGAAUGUUGUCUCUAUUUUUCUUCCCUGGAAAUCUUCCCAAAUAAAAGAAUCUGAUCACAUCUCAAAGGGAAGCUCCUGCAGAAAGCAGUGCUAUUUCCUCUGAAUAGAACAUCCUGGGGCAUGCAGGCAAUACCAACUAUCAUUUUGUAUUUGUAUUUCUUGACUGUUAUUCCUGUGGUGCUAUUUAAGGUGUUGACUGUGGUCAUAAAGAGAACUCAAAUUAGGUUGCAUGAUCAAGCUGGAAAAAUUAUCCUAGGCUUGCUGGGAAAGUCUGUGCAUAUGGCUGGAUAUGCACACACCAAGAUAGUGAAAGGAAUUAGGCUUCUGUAGGUUUUUAUCUAGAUGAAUUCCACUUGAAUGGAUUUAAUGCUGACUCUGCUUAGUUGGAUUGUCUCUUGAGUACUACUGAGUCUGAAGUAUAUAAAUGGUGUCCUCUCGCUUAUACUGACACAAGAAAAUCAAGAUGAAUGCAGGAAAAUUAAAUUUCAGUGAUAUAUGUGAAGACUUAAGAAAUCAAAUUGGGAAAACUGGCAAUUAUUCUGCUAUACAAAAGAAGAAUUAAUUCCAAAUUUAAAUUUUUUUAGGUCAUGUUGUAUUUCAUCCUUCCUCAGACAAUGAUUUUUUAUCUUAGAAGACAUCCUUCAGAUAACAGUGCUUUCUCUUACUGUAGAAAUAGCAUUUUCCCAAACUGUUUGUUCCAAAUUUGUCUUUCAUUUCUCUAACUCAAGGAUAGAGACUGUGUCUCUUUUGAAAUUGUUAUUUCUGUCCAUAUAUCAUCAUGCAAAUACUUCUCAGAAUAAAAUUAAAUGGAUAAUUUAAAUGCAGUCUACUUAAGCAAGACAUUGUGUUUCUCUCCAAAUGAACAUUACACUGCAAUAACAUGGGCAGUAAAACUAUAAUUUCUAAUUAAUUCCUAAAUGUCAACUAUCCUUUGGAAAACUAAUGAAAAAUCUAAUUGUUCAAGGAUAACCUAGACAAAACUUAAAGAAAAAAUGUUUCUAUGGUAUCUAAGACCUAAACUUUAUUAAAAUGGAUUAUUUAAGGUAUUUAAAUACAUGAGAAAUAACUGGACAGGUGUCAAAAUAGCUGAGUUAUACUCAAAGGUUUGAAACAAAGUAUUUGAAAAUUAAAUUGAAGCGUGUCAUUGUUUACAAAAUUCAUUUUAGACAUUACACUCCUCCAUGUUUUGACUAAGUUCCCUCUCUUUCUUCCAAACACAGAUUUCUCCCCAGCACCCUCAUUUAGAAGAACUGAGGUAUCCCUGAUUUUACAGUGGUAGUAUGAAUGAGCUAAUUCACGACAUCACACGAGGUGCUAUGUUCAGACUAUGGAUUCACAUAUCUGAGUUUUCAGUUCCAUGUUCAUGAAUCCACUUCCAAAAUUCACACUGGGUACAAUCUGAUAUGCAUCAACAUGCAGCACUGACUACACCACUUCUGGCCUCACAAUGGAAGCAAACCUGGAUGCACAGAAGGGAAAGUAAUAUGUGUAAGCUUCACACUGAUACCUGACAACAGGGACAACAGGACAAACAGGUAACAGAGAUUGCAAAGGCUCACUGAUAAAUCCCUCCAGUCAGCUUCAGCUCAACUGAUGUGUUACAGAAGCAGCCAGCAACAGACUCACAUGAAUAGAGGCAGAAUUGUACCCAAUCAACGUGGAAAGCUUCUACAAUGAAAUGUCUAGUUUGGCAGAUGAGGAGAGCUGUGAAUAUUAUCUAUCUUGACUUCAGAAAGUCUUUUUGCAUUAUGUCCCACAAGGUCCUCAUAGAGAAGCUGAUGAUUUAGUGGAGGGACGAGCAGACAGUGUGGUAGUUUGAAAAUCAGCUGAACUGCCAAGCCCAAAGCGUGGAUGAUCACUGGCAAAGAGUCUCAGCAGAGGCCAGUAACUAAUCGUGCACCAACGGGGUCAAUACUGUGUCCUAUCCUACUCAACAUCAUCAAGACUGCAAGAAAAGAUGACCUCCAGAAGUUCUUUUUAACCUCAUUCAUCAAGUCGAACAGCAUGGGGAUACCUACCAGUUGGUCUCAGAGUCCAGCAAGGGAAUACUACUUUUACUACUAGCUUUAACGCAUAGAACAGAUAUUCAGAUUGGGAUUGUAUUACCAGUAUCAAAAUUUAAUGCAAGUAAAAAACAAGAAACUUUUAAUUCACUAAUAUGUACUGUAUCAUGAAUAUCACUCCUCACAUGUUUUGUGAUUAUGGGUGUUGGGUG
ensembl:lncRNA